CACAAGAGCUUUCUCUCAACAGGAAUCACGCAGAGGUGAACACCACUCUCCAAAAUGAGAAAGUAUUUCAAUCAAUCAAGAUGUUACAUUUCUUUAGAAACUUGGAGCAGAGGAUUAAGAUGUGUGCUGUCUAUUCUACGGAAGAAAAGAAGGCUGUGACAUCACUGCAUAUGUGGAUGAAGCUGGCUUAUCCCUGCCCACUCCACACUCAGCUCACAGCAAGGCCAGCGGGACAGAGCAGAGCAUGAGCAACGCCUUCUUUUAAAAACCAUUUAACCAUCACUGCAAUCAAGACACCGAACAACUCCAUCACUCCCCUGAGCCUUUUGCAGUAAAUUCCAUCUACUCUUGGCCUGAGGCAGCCAGAGAUCUGCUUUCUGUCACUAUGGAUUAGUUUAGCCUGUCCUAGAGUUUCACAUAAAUGGAACUAUACAGUGAGAACUUUCAGGCUGGGAGAAGGGGGACGCAAAUGAGGUGCCUAAGAUACAAAGUUAAGCAGACACUCUCUCAAUUUCAUGCUAGUGACAACCCAGCAAUGUACCUUGUACUAUACUCAUUUGUAUCUGUUUCUUUUGCUGAGGUUCAUUAAUUUUGUUGUAUCAGUAGUUUGUUCAUUUUUAUUGCUGUGUAGUGUUCUAUGUUGUAAAUAUACAAUAGUUUAUUUA